rnacentral:rRNA from 1 species
CCUACGGGAGGCAGCAGUAGGGAAUAUUGCUCAAUGGGGGAAACCCUGAAGCAGCAACGCCGCGUGGAGGAUGAAGGUUUUCGGAUUGUAAACUUCUUUUGUUAGAGAAGAUAAUGACGGUAUCUAACGAAUAAGCACCGGCUAACUCCGUGCCAGCAGCCGCGGUAAUACGGAGGGUGCAAGCGUUACUCGGAUUCACUGGGCGUAAAGAGCGCGUAGGCGGGAUAGCAAGUCAGAUGUGAAAUCCUAUGGCUUAACCAUAGAACUGCUUUGGAAACUGUGAUUCUAGAGUAUGGGAGAGGUAAGUGGAAUUCUUGGUGUAGGGGUGAAAUCCGUAGAGAUCAGGAGGAAUACUAGUUGCGAAGGCGACCUACUGGAACAUAACUGACGCUGAGGCGCGAAAGCGUGGGGAGCAAACAGGAUUAGAUACCCGAGUAGUC